UGAUGGGGAAGGUCAUUUUGACCGAAGUAUCUGAUUCCACGCUGCCAAGAAAAGCCUCUAGGGAGCAAAGUAGUGCCCGUACCGCAAACCGACACAGGUAGAUGAGGAGAGAAUCCUAAGACCAUCGGAAGAAUUGCAGUUAAGGAACUCGGCAAAUUGACCCCGUAACUUCGGGAGAAGGGGUGCCUACGCAAGUAGGCCGCAGAGAAUAGGCCCAAGCAACUGUUUAGCAAAAACACAGGUCUCUGCUAAAGCGAAAGCUGAAGUAUAGGGGCUGACGCCUGCCCGGUGCUGGAAGGUUAAGGGGAAUGCUUAGCGCAAGCGAAGGCAUGAACUUAAGCCCCAGUAAACGGCGGCCGUAACUAUAACGGUCCUAAGGUAGCGAAAUUCCUUGUCAGGUAAGUUCUGACCCGCACGAAUGGCGUAAUGACUUGGGCACUGUCUCAACUGCAAAUCCGGCGAAAUUGUAGUGCCAGUGAAGAUGCUGGCUACCCGCGAUUGGACGGAAAGACCCCGUAGAGCUUUACUGUAGCUUAGCAUUGAAUUUCGGUAUUGUCUGUACAGGAUAGGUGGGAGACUGAGAAACUGGGGCGUCAGCUUCAGUGGAGUCACCCUUGGGAUACCACCCUGACAGUACUGAGGUUCUAACGGAUACCCAUGAAACUGGGUGCCGGACAUUGUUAGGUGGGCAGUUUGACUGGGGCGGUCGCCUCCUAAAAAGUAACGGAGGCGCCCAAAGGUUCCCUCAGAACGGUCGGAAAUCGUUCGAAGAGUGCAAAGGCAGAAGGGAGCCUGACUGCGACACCUACAAGUGGAGCAGGGACGAAAGUCGGGCUUAGUGAUCCGGUGGUACCUCGUGGGAGGGCCAUCGCUCAACGGAUAAAAGCUACCUCGGGGAUAACAGGCUGAUCUCCCCCAAGAGUCCACAUCGACGGGGAGGUUUGGCACCUCGAUGUCGGCUCGUCGCAUCCUGGGGCUGAAGUAGGUCCCAAGGGUUGGGCUGUUCGCCCAUUAAAGCGGCACGCGAGCUGGGUUCAGAACGUCGUGAGACAGUUCGGUCCCUAUCCGUCGCGGGCGUAGGAAAUUUGAGAGGAGCUGUCCCUAGUACGAGAGGACCGGGAUGGACUGACCUCUGGUGUACCAGUUGUCACGCCAGUGGCAUUGCUGGGUAGCUAUGUCGGGACGGGAUAAACGCUGAAAGCAUCUAAGCGUGAAGCCCACCUCAAGAUUAGAUUUCCCAUAGCGUAAGCUAGUAAGACCCCUUGAAGAACACGAGGUUGAUAGGUCAGAGGUGUAAGUGCAGUAAUGUAUUAAGCUGACUGAUACUAAUAGGUCGAGGGCUUGACCAAAUUAUUUUAAACCAUAUGCAGUUUUGAAAGAA
rnacentral:rRNA from 1 species